rnacentral:rRNA from 1 species
CACGUAGGAUGCAAGCGUUAUUCGGAUUUACUGGGCGUAAAGCGCGUGUAGGCGGGUAGGAGAGUUGGAUGUGAAAGCUCCCGGCUUAACUGGGAGAGGUCGUUCAAAACUUCCCACCUAGAGUAUGGUAGAGGAAAAUGGAAUUCCGGGUGUAGUGGUGAAAUGCGUAGAUAUCCGGAGGAACACCAGUGGCGAAAGCGAUUUUCUGGACCAAUACUGACGCUCAGACGCGAAAGCUAGGGUAGCAAACGGG